CAAACGUGCAAACCAAAAACAGUCCGCUACAAUAUGGAAUGGACGGCGGGUAAAGGCCAUCAAUCCCUCGGACCCAGUAUUGACCGACCAAACCCAUCUCUAAGAUUCCCAGCAUCCUGUUUAUGUGAUGUGGUCCGAAUCGUUCCUAUGCUUUAGCAGCGGACUGAUUAAACAUCUCACACCUCGAUAAUUAUGUGAUCAAAGCAAUGCCAAUUAACAUGUA
rnacentral:lncRNA from 1 species